ACUCUCUGUUUCAGCUGGAUCCAGUAUGAACUCCCAGUAUAGAUCCAUAGAGCUGGACUGAUGACACUUUAAUCAUUUCAUUUCAGUGUGGAGGAACAGAGACACAUCUUAAAGUCAGAGGAUUCUGGACUUCAAUGAAUGCAGGUUCAGUUUGAGAUUAAUGGACCAGAACACAGAGGAGGAGUCCGGCUGCAUCCUGCUGCAGGUUUAUUGAUGGAUUAUUGAUCCUCUGGUUGAUCAGACAUGAUGCCUUUAACUCACUGAUGGUUGAUGGUGAAAACAUGAAGGACUCUUAAAGCUGCAGCUGGAGCUCAGAGGAAACCAACUGGAUCUAAACCAGUCAAAUCCUCCAGUCUGAUCCAGGCAGAGUCACUGGGAGAACUGGAGUCCAGACCCACUGGGACUGGUCAGAUGUCCUUCAUCACAGAUCAUCAUCAUCAUCAUCAUCAUCAUCAUCAUCAUCAUCAUCACAGAUGUUCUGUCUGGUUCUGAUCCAUCUUAUGUUUUAUUAUUUCGUUUUUUCUAACAUGUUUUAUGCUAACUUAGCAUCGCUGCUAACCAUUAGCCUUCCUGUUAGCAGGAGCUUCAGAUGAAGCUUGAAACGAGGCCACAUGAUCAAUGACAUCACUUCCUGUCCAAACCUGCUGCCGUCUCUUCUGCUGAACUGCUGGCAUUGUUUCAAAAAUUCACAUUUUGGAAAAUAUUUUUAACAAUAAGUAAAAACACAAAGUGAAUUUUUAUGUUUAUUUUUUCUUGAUAUAAACAGAAAUAAACAGCUGCUCUGCUGUUUGGGUUGGUUCCGACUCAAUGAAUAUGAAAAUAUUUUAACUUCUAAUCAAUUAUUAUUAUGAUUCACUUUUGCAUAAAUGUUGAUUUUCUGGCAGUUUAUUUUCUAUUUUCCAUUUUUAAAUCAAAUAUUUUCAUAAAAGUCUUGAUGCCAUUCAGAAACUUUAGCAGAGGAAACGCCAAAGCUGAGCUGCAUAGGAACACAUCAUAUCUGACCUUUGACCUUUGACACGUCCUUUAGUUCCUCCCACCAUUAAACUAUUUAACAUUUAGAUUGUUACUGAAACCUGGACUGUUGCUGACAUCUUGCUCUGCUGUUUAUCUGAAGCUGUUUGGAUGAUUUUCACUGCAAGUCAAAAUAUAAUUUAGUUAAAUUUAGUUAGAAAUCAGAAAAGAUUCUUAGAUAAUCCAGAGUAGAUUAAAGAAAAGUCAUAAUUUUAAUGUUUUCCUCCAUCAUGAAGAUGUUUCUGGUUUUUCUCCAACAAACUGGUGAAACCAGAAACUGAACAUCUGGACUCAGAUUAAAGUCAUAAAGACGAAUAAAAUGACUUCAUGCUG